rnacentral:rRNA from 1 species
AUUGAACGCUGGCGGCAGGCCUAACACAUGCAAGUCGAGCGAGCGGCGGACGGGUGAGCUCUGUAUGGGGAUCUGCCUGAUGGAGGGGGAUAACAACUGGAAACGGUUGCUAAUACCGCAUACCCUCAGAUGAACCCAUAUGGGAUUAGCUUGUAGGCGAGGUAACGGCUCCCCUAGGCGACGAACCCGAGCUGGGUUGAGAGGAUGAUCAGCCACACUGGGACGGAGACCCGGCCCAGACUCCUACGGGAGGCAGCAGUGGGGAAGAUGGCACCAUGGGAGCAAGCCGGAGGCAGCCAUGCCGCGUGUAUGAAGAAGGCCUUCGGGUUGUAAAGUACUUUCAGUCGGGAGGCGUUACCGACAGAAGAAGCACCGGCUAACUCCGUGCCAGCCGCCGCGGUAAUUC